AGAGAGAGACAUGCGCGCAUAUCAAUAAGCGGAGGAAAAGAAACUAACUAGGAUUCCCUCAGUAACGGCGAGUGAAGCGGGAAGAGCUCAAAUUUGAAAUCUUCAAGGUUUUACCUUGACGAAUUGUAGUUUAGAGAAGUGUUUUCUGUUGGUGUUUUGGUAAAAGUUCUUUGGAAUAGGACAUCAUAGAGGGUGAGAAUCCCGUAUUUGACCAUUACUUCCAGCGUUGUGAUACACUUUCAAAGAGUCGGAUUGUUUGGGAAUGCAGUCCAAAAUGGGUGGUAAAUUUCAUCUAAAGCUAAAUAUUGGCGAGAGACCGAUAGCGAACAAGUACCGUGAGGGAAAGAUGAAAAGGACUUUGAAAAGAGAGUUAAACAGUACGUGAAAUUGUCAAAAGGGAAGCGUUUGACACCAGUGUUGUUUUUCCGAAAAUCAAUUACGAAUGUUUUGUUUUUGAGGAGUUAUGACUUCAUCGGCUUGCUCCUUUCUUUACGAAACUUUCUUAAUGCACUUUUCGGUUAACAAGUCAACAUCAAUUUCUUUUGUUGUAAAAGGGUAUGAGGAAGGUGGCUUUCUUUUCGGAGAAAGUGUUUAUAGCCUUGUGCCUCUGCAAUCGGAGAGAUUGAGGUCUGCAGCGUAGAUCCUUCGGGGUUAGAUACGUUUGUGCUAAGUUAUAGCUUUUCAUAGACAACUUGUUGACUAUGUUUAGUCUUGUAGCUUACUCGCUGACGCUAUUUUACCUACGCUUAGGAUGUUGAUAGUCACAGCGUGUUAC
rnacentral:rRNA from 1 species